UACGGAGGGUGCAAACGUUGCUCGGAAUCAUUGGGCGUAAAGCGCACGUAGGCGGACCUGCAAGUCGGGUGUGAAAGCCCUCGGCUCAACCGAGGAAGAGCAUUCGAAACUACAGGACUUGAAUACUGGAGAGGGUGGCGGAAUUCCCGGUGUAGAGGUGAAAUUCGUAGAUAUCGGGAGGAACACCAGCGGCGAAGGCGGCCACCUGGACAGAUAUUGACGCUGAGGUGCGAAAGCGUGGGGAGCAAACAGG
rnacentral:rRNA from 1 species